UAGGGAAUCUUCGGCAAUGGGCGAAAGCCUGACCGAGCAACGCCGCGUGAAUGAUGAAGGCCUUCGGGUUGUAAAAUACUGUUAUAAGGGAAGAACGACAUUAGUAGGAAAUGGCUAGAGUGUGACGGUACCUUAUGAGAAAGCCACGGCUAACUACGUGCCAGCAGCCGCGGUAAUACGUAGGUGGCGAGCGUUAACCGGAAUUAUUGGGCGUAAAGAGCGCGCAGGUGGUUGAUUAAGUCGGAUGUGAAAGCCCACGGCUUAACCGUGGAGGGUCAUUGGAAACUGGUCGACUUGAGUGCAGAAGAGGGAAGUGGAAUUCCAUGUGUAGCGGUGAAAUGCGUAAAUAUAUGGAGGAACACCAGUGGCGAAGGCGGCUACCUGGUCUGUAACUGACACUGAGGCGCGAAAGCGUGGGGAGCAAACA
rnacentral:rRNA from 1 species